rnacentral:lncRNA from 1 species
UAUUAACCUUUAUAUAUACUUAUUUAAUAGUAAACUUUGCAAUUGCAACAACACCAUUCCAAUCAAGUUUCACUAAAAUAUAUAAUAAAAUUUAGGUUACCUAUUAUUAACUUCCAUUUGAUUUUUACACAUCUUUGAAACAAGAAUGUCCACUUGUGUGCAUGUAAGCAUAAAGUGGAAACAAAUUUAUCUUUUAAACUUUGUAGAAAGUAAAUGAGCAAAUUAAACUUUUUUUUUUCUUGUCUUGUAUAUAUGGCUGUUGAAGUUAUAAC